CCUGGAGUCAGUGCGGAGCCCCGUGAGGCGCGGGGAGAAGAGGCAGCGGGCGGAGGGGAGCAGCGGGUGGUCCGAGGCGGCGCAGCCCAGGGUGGGCGCCUGACCCACGUUCUCUGGCUCUUGUCGACGGCGCAAGCUAACGCAAACACACAUGGUCGGACGCAUGCACAGCACGCCUAGAAGCGGAUCAAGAAGUAAUUAUAGAACAAGCUUUCCAGCGCCUCACUCAGUCACACCUCCUUCAAGAGCUGUGAAAUGGAAAGAAAACAGUUACUCCAGCUGCGACGUCUGAAGGGGCCCCGCACUUCGUCCCUGGUCAUAAGACACCGCAAGAGUUUAGUUAAGUGGCUUGAUACCAAGGAAGAGGUGGGCCCUGCACUCCUAAAAUCCCAAGCUCCGGCCCCUUACAGUCUCAUCUGAGAAACACAUCUUCAACGGCAGGCCAAAUUCCUCCUGCGAGCAACAUUCUGUAGCUGCAGCUGAUGGCAAGAUGUCACCAGCGGCUGAUGGCAAAAUGUCACCAGAGUCGCGGGUUAACCACCCCAUCCGCUAUCCAAGGCCCUCUCCCCGCUACCCUUUCAACCUUGUCCCAGAGGCUUUUAUGUUGGGGUAUGGCAACAAACUCUGUGGCUUUGUGUACCCACCCACAUUAAAGGCUAAAAUGUGAAAUAAACCAGUGCCCUUAUCCGCAC
rnacentral:lncRNA from 1 species